CUACGGGGGAUGCAAGCGUUAUCCGGAUUUAUUGGGUUUAAAGGGUGCGUAGGCGGUUUGAUAAGUCAGCGGUGAAAUAUUUCAGCUUAACUGGAAGGGUGCCGUUGAUACUGUCAGGCUUGAAUAUGAUUGCUGUGGGUGGAAUGUGUGGUGUAGCGGUGAAAUGCUUAGAUAUCACACAGAAUAUCGAUUGCGAAGGCAGCUCACAAAGCCAUUAUUGACGCUGAUGCACGAAAGUGUGGGGAUCAAACAGGAUUAGAUACCCUGGUAGUCCACACCGUAAACGAUGAUAACUCGCUGUCGGCGAGAUACAGUCGGUAGCCAAGCGAAAGCGAUAAGUUAUCCACCUGGGGA
rnacentral:rRNA from 1 species